rnacentral:rRNA from 1 species
AUUGAACGCUGGCGGCAGGCUUAACACAUGCAAGUCGAGCGAGCGGCGGACGGGUGAGUAAUGUCUGGGAAACUGCCUGAUGGAGGGGGAUAACUACUGGAAACGGUAGCUAAUACCGCAUACCAUCAGCUGUGCCCAUAUGGGAUUAGCUAGUAGGUGGGGUAAUGGCUCCCCUAGGCGACGAUCCCUAGCUGGUCUGUGGGGAUGACCAGCAACACGGGAACUGAGACAGGGUCCAGACUCCGACGGGAGGAAGCAGUGGGGAAUAUUGCACAAUGGGGGCAAGCCUGAUGCAGCCAUGCGGCGGGUGUGAAGAAGGCCUUCGGGUUGUAAAGUUCUUUCGGUAGCGAGGCGUUAACUACAGAAGAAGCACCGGCUAACUCCGUGCCAGCAGCCGCGGUAAUAC